rnacentral:rRNA from 1 species
CCUACGGGGGACAGCAGUGGGGAAUAUUGCACAAUGGGGGAAACCCUGAUGCAGCGACGCCGCGUGAAGGAAGAAGUAUCUCGGUAUGGAAAAUCCUAUCAGCCGGGAAGCAAAUGACGGUACGUGACCACGAAGCCCCGGCUAACUACGUGCCAGCAGCGGCGGUAACACGUAGGGGGCCAGCGUUAUCCGGAUUUACUGGGUGUAAAGGGAGCGUAGGCGGUUUAGCAAGUCAGAAGUGAAAGCCCGGGGGUCAACUCCGGGACUGCGGUUGAAACUGUCGAACUAGAUUGCAGGAGAGGUAUGUGGAAUGCCUGGUGUAGCGGUGAAAUGCGUAGAUAUUAGGCAGAACUCCAGUGGCGAAGGCAGCUUACUGGACUGUAAAUGACGCUGAGGCUCGAAAGCGUGGGGAGCGAACAGGAUUAGAUACCCCUGUAGUC